GAUGAAGAACGCAGCGAAGUGCGAUAAGUAAUGUGAAUUGCAGAAUUCCGUGAAUCAUCGAAUCUUUGAACGCAAAUUGCACUCUCUUCGGAGAGUAUGCCUGUUUGAGGGUCAGUAUUAAUAAAAAUCGGCGUGUUGCUCUUUUGUGACGUUCCGGAGUUUGGGUCAUCUUAUAACAACACCCUUUCAGGGUAUUUUUAAGAGGCUUAAAAUUGACCUUUUUUGUGCAUUUUAGACGUACAUAAAUUUUUUUUUAUUCGUCAAUCUUAAUGCCAAAUCCAUUAGAUGCGACCAUAUCGUGUGGUUCCGUGUCUAUAAAUUUUUCAUGAUUUGACCUCAAAUCAGGUAAGAACACCCGCUGAACUUAAGCAUAUCAAUAAGCGGAGGA
rnacentral:misc_RNA from 1 species